AAGGUGGGGAUGACGUCAAAUCAUCAUGCCCCUUAUGCUCUGGGCUACACACGUGCUACAAUGGCCGGUACAAUGAGUUGCAAACCCGUGAGGGGGAGCUAAUCUCAAAAACCGGUCCCAGUUCGGAUUGUAGGCUGCAACUCGCCUACAUGAAGCCGGAGUUGCUAGUAAUCGCGGAUCAGCAUGCCGCGGUGAAUACGUUCCCGGGCCUUGUACACACCGCCCGUCACACCAUGAGAGCCGGCAACACCCGAAGCCAGUGGGCUAACCCGCAAGGGAGGCAGCUGUCGAAGGUGGGGCUGGUGAUUGGGGUGAAGUCGUAACAAGGUAGCCGUAGGAGAACCUGCGGCUGGAUCACCUCCUUU
rfam:Thermobrachium celere DSM 8682 genomic scaffold, scaffold27